rnacentral:rRNA from 1 species
ACCAGUACUAGCCCACACAACCCCUACAACACAACAAAUACUUAACUAUUUAAAUAAAACAUUUACCCCUAUAAAAGUAUAGGAGAUAGAAAUUCUUAAUUGGAGCUAUAGAGCCAGUACCGUAAGGGAAAGAUGAAAGAAAAUACUUAUAGUUAAACAAAGCAAAGACUAAACCUUCUACCUUUUGCAUAAUGAGUUAACUAGAAACAACUUCACAAAANGAAUUUAAGCCAAGAACCCCGAAACCAGACGAGCUACUUAUGAGCAGCUAUAAGAGCUAAUCCGUCUAUGUAGCAAAAUAGUGGAGUGACUUAUAAGUAGCGGUGAAAAGCCUAUCGAGCCUGGUGAUAGCUGGUUAUCCAGAUCAGAAUCUCAGUUCAACUCUAAAUUUACUUAAAGCACCUAAUAAUCUAAACGUAAAUUUAGUUGUUAAUCUAAAGGGGGACAGCUCUUUAGACACAGGAAACAACCUUAAUUAGAGAGUAAAUUUCAUAAUAUCCAUAGUUGGCCUAAAAGCAGCCAUCAAUUNAAAANGCGUUCAAGCUUAACCCACCAUACUUAACUUGAUCUNANCAUUUUUCACUCACCUCCUAAUUUUACACUGGAUAAAUCUAUAAUUAACUAUAGAAGCAAUAAUGUUAAUAUGAGUAACAAGNAAANUUUUCUCCCUGCAUAAGCUUAUACCAACCCGGAUGAUCCACUGGUAGUUAACAAACUUAUAUUUUCAAUCCAAAAAUUACUCAAUAUAAUUUAUAAUGUUAAUCCUACACCGGUAUGCACCCAAGGAAAGAUUAAACAAGUAAAGGAACUCGGCAAACACUAANCCNGCCUGUUUACCAAAACAUCACCUCUAGCAUGAAUAGUAUUAGAGGCACUGCCUGCCCGGUGACAUAUGUUUAACGGCCGCGGUAUCCUGACCGUGCAAAGGUAGCAUAAUCAUUUGUUCCUUAAAUAGGGACUUGCAUGAAUGGCUAAACGAGGGUUUAUCUGUCUCUUACUUUCAAUCAGUGAAAUUGACCUUCCCGUGAAGAGGCGGGGAUAGAUAAAUAAGACGAGAAGACCCUGUGGAGCUUAAAUUCAUUAGUCCAAGUACUAUUUAUAAUAACUCUACAAGAGACAAAAUUAUUACCCCUGGACUNAAANUUUUGGUUGGGGUGACCUCGGAGCAUAAUCUAACCUCCGAAUGAUCUUAAUCUAGACCAUAACCAGUCUAAAUUUAAAUUCAUAAAUUGACCCAAACUAUUGAUCAACGGAACAAGUUACCCCAGGGAUAACAGCGCAAUCCUACCCGAGAGUCCAUAUCGACAGUAGGGUUUACGACCUCGAUGUUGGAUCAGGACAUCCAAAUGGUGCAACCGCUAUUAAUGGUUCGUUUGUUCAACGAUUAAAGUCCUACGUGAUCUGAGUUCAGACCGGAGAAAUCCAGGUCGGUUUCUAUCUAUUAAAAGUUUCUCCCAGUACGAAAGGACAAGAGCAACAAGGCCAAUUCCCACAGUAUGCCUUACAAUAAUAGAUGAUAUAAUCUCAAUCUAAUUAAUAAUACAUAAUCUUUGCCCUAGAACAGGGCUG